AGAUGUACCAACAUCUCUGCUUUAGGUCUUUAGAAUCUACAAAUAAAGAAAUAAAAACCUUCAGUUGUGGCAGAUUAGCAACAUAAAUACAGACUUUUGUCUGCUUUUGGUCCCUCGUGUCUGUUGGAAACACUAGACUGUGUGUAACAAAAAGGAUGAUCAGGAGUUAUUAGUAAGAAGCAGUGUGUAUUCCACAUCUUUAGAUUUUUAGAGCAGAGGGAGUUUUCAACCAAUGCUUUCUCUUCACUUGACUUUCUUUAGAUGCAAUAUACUACUUGAAAAUUCCUUAUUUGAACAAUGUGAAAACUGUGAAAAUGGUCUUACUAUUGUUAUUUGAGCUCAGUUAUUUUUUAACUGAGCUCAGUGGUUGUCUUUUUGUAAAUAUAUAUUCUAAUGGCUGCUGUAGCAAAGAAUAUAUGAAAGAAAUGAUCAAGCCUCCUGUCACUAGAGGAUGCCCACAUGCACCUCCCCAUGAAAUGAAUCCUGUGCCAUAAAUAUCCCACAAUAAUCACCCUGAAGGAGGAAACAAUACAUCACUAACGGAGCUGCAGUGAGAGGCGGAGCAAUAGUGGAAAAACGGGUGAACUUCAACGUCACAUUUCUGAAAUGAAACUUAAAGUCUGUCAAAGCAACAGGAGAACUGCAGUUGAGACAACUCUGUGUUUCUCUCCACAGACAAUUUAAACUAAGUUCAUCAGGUCUUUCUCAUCUACAGCAGAAACACUGUGUGUAGAUAUGGCUGCUGCCACUAGUCUGCUGUCCGAAGAUCAGUUUCUGUGCUCCAUCUGCCUGGAUGUGUUCACUGAUCCAGUCAGUACACCAUGUGGACACAACUUCUGCAAAAACUGCAUCAGUGAACACUGGAAUAUUGCUGUCCAAUGCCAGUGUCCCAUCUGUAAAACGCUUUUCUACACAAAACCUGAGCUGCAGGUCAACAUUUUCAUCUCUGAGAUGGUUGAUCGGUUCAGACAGUCAGCUCAACAGAGAGCCAGCAGUGGCAGAUCAGAGCAACAAGCUGCCAAACCAGGAGAAGUUACCUGUGACGUCUGCACUGGAACCAAACUGAAGGCUGUGAAGUCCUGUCUGGUGUGUCUGGUGUCCUACUGUGAGACUCACCUGGAGCCUCAUCUGACAGCAUCAGGACUGAAAAUACAUCAGCUGAUUGAUCCUGUGGAGAACCUGGAGGGAAGAAUGUGUGUGAAGCACAAUAAACUGCUGGAGUUGUUCUGCAAGGAUGAUCAGACAUCUGUCUGUAUGGUCUGCACUAUUUUAGACCACAAAGCACAUGAAGUUGUUCCUCUAAAAGAGGAAUAUGGAGAAAAGAAGGCCGAGCUGGGGAAGACAGAGACUGAGAUUCAGCAGAUGAUCCAGAAGAGACGACUGAAGAUUCAAGAGAUCAAACAAACCAUCAAGCUCAGCAAGGAAAAUGCAGACAAAGAGAUAGCAGAAGAUGUUCAGGCCUUUACCAAACUGAAGGAGUCAGUUGAGAAAUACCAGGCCAGAGUCAUCACAAUGAUUGAAGAGAAGCAGAAAAGGACAGAGAAACAGGCUGAAGGAUUCAUCAAAGAGCUUGAGCAGGAAAUCUCUGAGCUGGAGAAGCUCACACACUCUGAAGACCACUUCAACCUCCUCCAAAGCCUCCCGUCCCUGAGCGCUGCUCCACCAUCCAAAGACUGGACAGAAGUCAGAGUCCGUCCGCUGUCAUAUGAUGGGACUGUGAAGACAGUUGUGGCUCAACUGGUGGAGAGACUGAAGAAAAUGUUCGCAUACAGUGAGCUGAUGUGGGUCCAGCAGUAUGCAGUGGAUGUGACACUUGAUCCUGAUACAGCAAAUCCAAAACUCAUCCUGUCUGAUGAUGGGAAACAAGUCCAUCAUGUUGAUGCAAAGAAGAAUCUCCCAGACAACCCAGAAAGAUUUUCUAUUGGUCUCUGUGUCUUAGGGAAGCAAACUGUUUCUUCUGGAAAAAUGUACUUUGAGGUUCAGGUUAAAGGAAAGCCUGAUUGGGUUUCAGGAGUUUCCAGAGAGUCAAUCAACAGGAAGGGGCUAUCUGCAAUUAGCUGUAAGAAUGGUUACUGGACUGUAUGCUUGAAGAAUGAAAAUUGGUGCUUUGCUCUUGCUGAUACUCCAGUUCGUCUCUCUCUGAAGUCAAAGCCUCAGAAGGUUGGGGUGUUUGUGGAUUAUGAGGAGGGUCUGGUCUCCUUUUAUGAUGUCAAUGCUUCAGCUCUUAUCUACUCCUAUACCGGCUGCUCCUUCAAUGAGAAUCUCCUCCCAUUCUUCUGUCCCUGUUCUAAUCAGGGCGGUAAAAACUCCACCCCUUUGAUCAUCUCCCCUGUCCACCACACUGAGUAGAGAAACCAUUUGAUUUCCUUGAAAAAGACUCACUUUUUUAUUUUGAGAAAUCUUCAUGUUUAGUGGUAAUGUACAGUGUCUACUUGUUGUCUCCAGAUUCUAGUUGUUGUGGAUGUUUGCCCUCUUUAUUAUAUAUCCCAUUUGUACUUACUACUGCAAGACAGUAAUUUCACCAUGAAUAAUUUGUUUGAUUUUAUGUAAUGUUGUUUAAUCUGUUCUAAUAAGGUUAAUACCUGUCUUCAAAUGUCAAACAUCACAACAAUGUAAAUAGAAAAGGUUUUGCAUGUGUGGGUUUAGAAAAUGGCUGUUUAUAGUCCAAUAUUUACAGGGCCUAGUUUGGGUGUUUUUGAAAACACUUUAGAUUACAGACUACAGCAUAAUAGCAUAAACUAAAUAAGACAGUAUCUCUGCUUCUGCUCAACUAAUUUAGAUCCUUUAAAAAAUAUUAUUGGAGUGCAAAGUUAAAUUGGUGGAAUACUCUUUUAAUGGGACUGAAUGUUAUCUGACUAAAUUAAGUCCAACUGAAGUGAGCAAAACUUUUCUCUUUACUCUGCCUCACUAUUUAUCUAUUUUUUCUGAUAUAUGAUAUAUUAAUGUUAAAACAGCUCUGUGAUUGUGAUUUACAUCUUAUGUUAUACUUUUUCAUAUUAUUACUUUUAUUUUUAAACCAGUGAGGUCCAGAUAAAUUUCAUAACUGAAAAACAAACAACUCAGUUUGGUUGUCUCUAGAUUGCUGAACUGUGGUCUGGGGUCAAAGGUCAGGGGUAAUAUAAUCAUCUCUCCCUGGAUAUGAGGUAUCGUUUGUGUUAUUCAUAUUGUGAAGGUUUAUUUAGUUUGGUGAUUUUAAAUGUACAGUAUGUAAAGGCAUUUUAUUGUAUUUUGGAUAUGUUUUAGGAAAAAUAUAAAUAUGCCACAAUAAUUAACCGGAAGGAGGAAACAAUACAUCAUUAACAGAGCUGCAGUGAGAGGCGGAGCAAUAGUGGAAAAACAGGUGAACUUCAACGUCACUUUCCUGAAAUGAAACUUAAAGUCUGUCGAAGCAACAGAAGAACUGCAGUUGAGACAACUCUGUGUUUCUCUCUACAGACAAAUUUAGACUAAGUUCAUCAGGUCUUUCUCAUCUACAGCAGAAACACUGUGUGUAGAUAUGGCUGCUUCCACUAGUCUGCUGUCUCAAGAUCAGUUUCUGUGCUCCAUCUGCCUGGAUGUGUUCACUGAUCCAGUCAGUACACCAUGUGGACACAACUUCUGCAAAAACUGCAUCUGUGAACACUGGAAUACUGCUGUCCAAUGCCAGUGUCCCAUCUGCAAAACGCUUUUCUACACAAAACCUGAGCUGCAGGUCAAUGUUUUCAUCUCUGAGAUGGUUGAUCGGUUCAGACAGUCAGCUCAACAGAGAGCCAGCAGCAGCAGAUCAGAGCAACAAGCUGCUAAACCAGGAGAAGUUCCCUGUGACGUCUGCACUGGAACCAAACAGAAGGCUGUGAAGUCCUGUCUGGUGUGUCUGGUGUCCUACUGUGAGACUCACCUGGAGCCUCAUCUGACAGCAUCAGGACUGAAAAGACAUGAGCUGAUUGAUCCUGUAGAGAACAUGGAAGGCAGGAUGUGUAUUAAGCACGAUAAAGCUCUGGAGUUGUUCUGCAAGGAUGAUCGGGCAUGUGUCUGUAUGCUCUGCACUAUUUUAGACCAUAAGACACAUAAUGUUGUUCCGCUGAAACAAGAAUAUGAAGAAAAGAAGGCCGAGCUGGUGAAGACAGAGGCUGAGAUUCAGCAGAUGAUCCAGAAGAGACGACUGAAAAUUCAAGAGAUCAAACAAUCCAUCAAGCUCAACAAGGAAAAUGCAGACAAAGAGAUAGCAGAAGAUGUUCAUGUCUUCACCAAACUGAAGGAGUUAGUUGAGAAAUACCAGGCCAGAGUCAUCACAAUGAUUGAAGAGAAGCAGAAAAGGACAGAGAAACAGGCUGAAGGAUUCAUCAAAGAGCUGGAGCAGGAAAUCUCUGAGCUGAAGAAGAGGAGUUCUGAUCUGGAGAAGCUCUCACGCUCUGAAGACCACCUCCACCUCCUCCAAAGCUUCCCGUCCCUGAACGCUGCUCCACCCACCAAAGACUGGACAGAAAUCGGAGUCUGUCAGCCGUCAUAUGAUGGGAUUGUGAGGACAGCUGUGGUUCAGCUGAAGGAAACACUGAAGAAAGUGUGUCCAGAGGCUGAGCUGAUGUGGGUCCAGCAGUAUGCAGCGGAUGUGACA